rnacentral:rRNA from 1 species
AUUGAACGCUGGCGGCAGGCUUAACACAUGCAAGUCGAGCGGGGGAUGUUGCUUCGGUAACUGACCUAGCGGCGGACGGGUGAGUAAUAUUUAGGAAUCUGCCUAUUAAUGGGGGACAACAUCUCGAAAGGGAUGCUAAUACCGCAUGUGCCCUACGGGGGACAGAAGGGGAACACUUGCGACCUUGCGCUAAUAGAUGAGUCUAAGUCGGAUUAGCUAGUUGGUGGGGUAAAGGCCUACCAAGGGGACGAUCUGUAGCGGGACUGAGAGAAUGAUCCGCCACACUGGGACUGAGACACGGCCCAGACUCCUACGGGAGGCAGCAGUGGGGAAUAUUGGACAAUGGGGGGAACCCUGAUCCAGCCAUGCCGCGUGUGUGAAGAAGGCCUUAUGGUUGUAAAGCACUUUAAGCGAGGAGGAGGCUCUUCUAGUUAAUACCUAGGAUGAGUGGACGUUACUCGCAGAAUAAGCACCGGCUAACUCUGUGCCAGCCGCCGCGGUUAACAC